UACGUAGGGCGCAAGCGUUGUCCGGAAUUAUUGGGCGUAAAGAGCUCGUAGGCGGUCUGUCUCGUCUGCUGUGAAAACUCAGGGCUUAACCCUGAGCUUGCAGUGGGUACGGGCAGACUAGAGUGCGGUAGGGGAGACUGGAAUUCCUGGUGUAGCGGUGAAAUGCGCAGAUAUCAGGAGGAACACCGGUGGCGAAGGCGGGUCUCUGGGCCGAUACUGACGCUGAGGAGCGAAAGCGUGGGGAGCGAACAGG
rnacentral:rRNA from 1 species